rnacentral:rRNA from 1 species
GACGAACGCUGGCGGCGUGCUUAACACAUGCAAGUCGAGCGAGGUCCAACCAGUGGCAACACUGGGGAAGACCUAGCGGCGAACGGGUGAGUAACACGUGAGCAACCUGCCCCGAAGACUGGGAUAACACCGGGAAACCGGUGCUAAUACCGGAUGCCCUCACCGGGCCGCAUGACCUGGUGAGGAAAUGAAUUUUGCUUCGGGAGGGGCUCGCGGGCUAUCAGCUUGUUGGUGGGGAACGGCUCACCAAGGCUACGACGGCUAGCUGGUCUGAGAGGACGAUCAGCCACACUGGGACUGAGACACGGCCCAGACUCCUACGGGAGGCAGCAGUGGGGAAUCUUGCGCAAUGGGCGAAAGCCUGACGCAGCAACGCCGCGUGGGGGAUGAAUGCCUUCGGGUU